GACGAACGCUGGCGGCGUGCUUAACACAUGCAAGUCGAACGGUAAGGCUCCAGCUUGCUGGGGUACACGAGUGGCGAACGGGUGAGUAACACGGGGGUGACCUGCCCUGCACUUCGGGAUAAGCCUGGGAAACUGGGUCUAAUACCGGAUAGGACCAUGGUGUGGAUACUGUGGUGGAAAGUUUUUUCGGUGUGGGAUGGGCCCGCGGCCUAUCAGCUUGUUGGUGGGGUAAUGGCCUACCAAGGCGGCGACGGGUAGCCGGCCUGAGAGGGUGGACGGCCACAUUGGGACUGAGACACGGCCCAGACUCCUACGGGAGGCAGCAGUGGGGAAUAUUGCACAAUGGGCGGAAGCCUGAUGCAGCGACGCCGCGUGGGGGAUGACGGCCUUCGGGUUGUAAACUCCUUUCACCAUCGACGAAGGGUUUCUGACGGUAGAUGGAGAAGAAGCACCGGCUAACUACGU
rnacentral:rRNA from 1 species